rnacentral:rRNA from 1 species
UGGGGAAUAUUGGACAAUGGGCGCAAGCCUGAUCCAGCCAUGCCGCGUGAGUGAUGAAGGCCUUAGGGUUGUAAAGCUCUUUCGCCGACGAAGAUAAUGACGGUAGUCGGAGAAGAAGCCCCGGCUAACUUCGUGCCAGCAGCCGCGGUAAUACGAAGGGGGCUAGCGUUGUUCGGAAUCACUGGGCGUAAAGCGCACGUAGGCGGAUUGUUAAGUCAGGGGUGAAAGCCUGGAGCUCAACUCCAGAACUGCCCUUGAUACUGGCAAUCUCGAGUCCGGAAGAGGUAAGUGGAACUGCGAGUGUAGAGGUGAAAUUCGUAGAUAUUCGCAAGAACACCAGUGGCGAAGGCGGCUUACUGGUCCGGUACUGACGCUGAGGUGCGAAAGCGUGGGGAGCAAAACAGGAUUAGAUACCCUGGUAGUCCACGCCGUAAAACGAUGGAGGCUAGCCGUUGGCGAGCAUGCUCGUCAGUGGCGCAGCUAACGCAUUAAGCCUCCCGCCUGGGGGAGUACGGUCGCAAGAUUAAAAACUCAAAUGAAUUGACGGGGUC